rnacentral:rRNA from 1 species
GGUUAAGUUAGAAAGGGCGCACGGUGGAUGCCUUGGCACUAGGAGCCGAAGAAGGACGGGACUAACACCGAUAUGCUUUGGGGAGCUGUACGUAAGCGUUGAUCCAGAGAUUUCCGAAUGGGGGAACCCACUAUCUUUAGUCGGAUAGUAUCCUUACGUGAAUACAUAGCGUGAGGAAGGCAGACCCAGGGAACUGAAACAUCUAAGUACCUGGAGGAAGAGAAAGAAAAAUCGAUUUCCUGAGUAGCGGCGAGCGAAACGGAAAGAGCCCAAACCAAGAAGCUUGCUUCUUGGGGUUGUAGGACACUCUAUACGGAGUUACAAAAGAAAGUUAUAAAUGAAGCGGUCUGGAAAGGCCCGCCAAAGACGGUAACAGCCCGGUAGUUGAAAUGGCUUUCCCUCCAGAGUGGAUCCUGAGUACGGCGGAACACGUGAAAUUCCGUCGGAAUCCGGGAGGACCAUCUCCCAAGGCUAAAUACUCCCUAGUGACCGAUAGUGAACCAGUACCGUGAGGGAAAGGUGAAAAGCACCCCGGAAGGGGAGUGAAACAGUUCCUGAAACCGUGUGCCUACAAGUAGUUAGAGCCCGUUAAUGGGUGAUAGCGUGCCUUUUGUAGAAUGAACCGGCGAGUUACGAUUUGUUGCAAGGUUAAGCGGAAAAAGCGGAGCCGUAGCGAAAGCGAGUCUGAAUAGGGCGCAUAAGUAACAGGUCGUAGACCCGAAACCAGGUGAUCUACCCAUGUCCAGGAUGAAGGUAAGGUAAUACUUA